AUGCUCCUAGCGCAUCCACUGUGCCCUGAAACCAUAGCCAGGGCUCUUCAAAGGCAGGCUGAGGAACCCCUCAGCAGGUUCACUAGAGCUGCUUUUGCUCUACAAAGGUGGGGCUGGGCCCCUGAGACAGAGACUGACACCAAAGGGCCUGCCUGGAAAAGUUUGCAGAGUCCUGCUUCAAUCAAGUACCACUGUGAUGUUUGCGUCCCCAGCAGGUUCAUCCCAGAACUCACCGCUGCGAGUCCCGCUGAACCAGACAAUGAGAAGCAAGUCCAGGAAGCCAAGACUGGUCUUGGGGCCACCCAUCUCUCCCUUUGCCACCUGGAUCUCGAUUUUGCAGGAGUGGAGGAUGCCAGUUGACGAUGAUGGACGGGCACUUGCGGCUGAGCCAGCGGAAGAAGGCCGGGGCUCGAGCCAGCGGAAGAAGGCCUGGACUGGAGCCAGCGGAAGAAGGCCGGGACUCCCAUAGCGGCGGCGCAGCUGCGGGCAUUGGCCCAGCCAGUGAAUGCGCGGUAUCGAGAGAGACCAGCCACGGUGGGCACCAGACAGUAAAGAAUCUGCCUUCUAUGUGGGAGACCUGGGUUCAGUCCCUGUGUUGGAAAGCUCUUCUGGAGGAGGGCAUGGCAACCCACUCCAGUAUUCGUGCCUGGAGAAUCCCAUGGACAGAGGAGCCUGGUGGGCCAUAGUCCAUAGGGUCGCAAAGAGUUGAACACGACUGAGCAACUAAGCACACACACAUUCUCCUUCCCCUGAUGGUGUCUAGGCCCUGGUUCCCACCUCUUACCCUAGGCCCAUAAUUCUCCAGCUGAACGGCCUCAGGUUCUGAGUCCUUGCCCCAUGUCUCCCCCAGGGUCUGGGUCUGUUCUGAGCAGGCCUACAAGGCAUUAAUUCUCCAAGAGAAGCAAGGGUUUAGGCCUGUUAACUGUCAUAAUGAACCAAAGUCUGUUUCUAUAUUAGGGCUGGAGUGACAAUGAAGUUGUAGCCAAGUUAAGGGUCUGUGAGGAAACUCAGGUGCUAGCUGGCAUGGGGAGUGCUGACUCACUCUUCAUGUGCCCCACGAAAUUUGUAUGUUGCAACUUUGGCCCUGAAUGUGAUAGAAUCGGAAGAUGGGUGUGUGGUAAGUGAUUGGUGGGUUCAGUUCAGUUCAGUUCAGUCUCUCAGUCAUGUCCGACUCUUUGCCACCCCUUGGACUGCAUCAUGCCAGGCUUUCCUGUCCAUCACCAACACCCCGAGCUUGCUCAAACUCAUUUCCAUCAAAUUGGUGAUGCCAUCCAAACAUCUCAUCCUCUGUCAUCCCCUUCUCCUCCUGCUUUCAAUCUUUCUCAGCAUCAGGGUCUUUUCCAACGACUCAGUUCUUCACCUCAGGUGGUCAAAGGAUUGCAGUUUCAGCUUCAACAUUAGUCCUUCCAAUGAACACCCAGGACUGAUUUCCUUCAGGAUGGACUGGUUGGAUCUCCUUGCAGUCCAAGAGACUCUCAAGAGUCUUCUCCAACACCACAGUUCAAAAGCAUCAAUUCUUCGGCGCUCAGCCUUCUUCACAGUCCAACUCUCACAUCCAUACAUGACUACUGGAAAAACCAUAGCCUUGACUAGACGCAACUCAAUGACAGUUUGUCUCUGAUUUUUAGGUUGGUGUCUAGGUUGGUCAUAACCUUCCUUCCAAGGAGUAAUUGUCUUUUAAUUUCAUGGCUGCAAUCACCAUCUGCAGUGAUUUUGGAGCCCCCCAAAAUAAAGUCUGAUACUGUUUUCACUGUUUCCCCAUCUAUUUCCCAUGAACUGAUGGGACUGGAUGCCAUUAUCUUCGUUUUCUGAAUGUUGAGC
ensembl:lincRNA